rnacentral:rRNA from 1 species
UACGAAGGGGGCUAGCGUUGCUCGGAAUCACUGGGCGUAAAGGGUGCGUAGGCGGGUCUUUUAAGUCAGGGGUGAAAUCCUGGAGCUCAACUCCAGAACUGCCUUUGAUACUGAAGAUCUUGAGUUCGGGAGAGGAGAGUGGAAUUCCUGGUGUAGCGGUGAAAUGCGCAGAUAUCAGGAAGAACACCUAUGGCGAAGGCAGCUCUCUGGGACGGUACUGACGCUGAGACGCGAAAGCGUGGGGAGCGAACAGG